AGAGAUAGAGGGAGGGAGGUCAUGGUGAGGCUGGAGAGGGAGAAGUUCAGUGAGAGGUGAAAUACUAAAAAAGAAAGUUCUGGGUGAAUCCAGGGUCAGGAGUGUCUGUGUGCAAGUGUGUGUGUCUGUAUGUGUGUGUAGAUAAAUGAGUGUGUGUGUGGAGGACGUGCUCUCAGCUGGUGGAUUCUCCAUCUGUCUUAGUUUUUUCCUGGAGAGCUCAUGUUUUCCUCCUGUCCUGGAAUAAAACCUUUCCAUCAGUCAGACCUAACUUUUCAUCCUUAUCCUGGUCCCAGGACUACCGCUCCUCUAGGAGCUAAUAUACGCUGUCCUUCUGCUUAGCUAAAGUUACUGGAACUGUUCACUCAGUGGGACUGGUCCACCUUCCUGGCCGACUAUGGAAAACCCACCUGUAAAUACCUGAGAGUCAACCCUCACACAGCACUCACCCUGCUGGAAAAGAUGAAGGAGAGCAGCAGGAGGAGCACAGUCUUCGCUCAGUUUAAGAAGACGGACAGAGAUCGGCAGAAGCUCAUCGACACGGUGGUCAAGCAGCUCAGGAACCUCAUCUCUCAGCAGCACUCCUAAAUGGCCGACUCCCAACCAUGUGACUGCCCCAGAAGUUGAGAACAUGCACCUUAACACUGAGCAAAAUCAGUCUGGAUCACUGGGCCGAAACACUGGGCUGAACAAUCAGUUAAACAGUUCCACAACCAUGCAUCAAACCCAGCCCAUCAGAAAAGUGUUUGAGUUCUGAUCUAACUUUGUGGAUGUUGUUCUUCUGACGGCUUGGCUGAACACCUUUCAGAGUUUUCACAAUUUUUUUCACAUUUUUUGAUCAACAUUUAGCUUCACUUUACUAACAGCUGCCAAGUUACUGCUUCAUACUUUAUUUGAUUGGGCUUCUCCUCAAAUGUAACAUUUUUUUCCUCAGUUCUUCUGUAUUGGAGCAUCA